rnacentral:lncRNA from 1 species
AAAAGAUCUUUACCAACCCUACAACAGAUAGAGGCCUUAUAUCCAAAAUAUACAAAGAACUCAAGAAGUUAGACCGUAGGGAGACAAAUAACCCUAUUAAAAAUGGGGCUCAGAGCUAAACAAAGAAUUCACAGCUGAGGAAUGCCGAAUGGCUGAGAAACACCUAAAGAGAUGUUCAACAUCUUAAUCAUAAGGGAAAUGCAAAUCAAAACAACCCUGAGAUUUCACCUCACACCAGUGAGAAUGGCUAAAAUCAAAAACUCAGGUGACAGCAGAUGCUGGAGAGGAUGUGGAGAAAGAGGAACACUCCUCCAUUGUUGGUGGGAUUGCAGACUGGUACAACCAUUCUGGAAAUCAGUGUGGAGGUUCCUCAGAAAAUUGGACAUUGAACUGCCUGAGGAUCCAGCUAUACCUCUCUUGGGCAUAUACCCAAAAGAUUCCUCAACAUACAAAAGAGACACGUGCUCCACUAUGUUCAUCGCAGCCUUAUUUAUAAUAGCCAGAAACUGGAAAGAACCCAGAUGCCCUUCAACAGAGGAAUGGAUACAGAAAAUGUGGUACAUCUACACAAUGGAAUAUUACUCAGCUAUCAAAAACAACGAGUUUG